rnacentral:rRNA from 1 species
UGGGGAAUAUUGCACAAUGGGCGAAAGCCUGAUGCAGCGACGCCGCGUGAGGGAUGACGGCCUUCGGGUUGUAAACCUCUUUCAGCUCCGAAGAAGCGAAAGUGACGGUAGGAGCAGAAGAAGCACCGGCUAACUACGUGCCAGCAGCCGCGGUAAUACGUAGGGUGCAAGCGUUGUCCGGAAUUAUUGGGCGUAAAGAGCUCGUAGGCGGUGUGUCGCGUCUGCUGUGAAAACUCAGGACUCAACUCUGAGCUUGCAGUGGGUACGGGCACACUUGAGUGCUGUAGGGGAGACUGGAAUUCCUGGUGUAGCGGUGAAAUGCGCAGAUAUCAGGAGGAACACCGGUGGCGAAGGCGGGUCUCUGGGCAGUUACUGACGCUGAGGAGCGAAAGCAUGGGGAGCGAACAGG